rnacentral:lncRNA from 1 species
UCUUCUCUUCUCCUUCUCUUCUCCACAUUUUGCCAUAAGCUUUCAUCUCUGCACCUCCGCCUUCAGCACGCAGUGAUCUUCUUCUCCUUCACUGUCCAGCUCUUCUCUUCUCCUUCACUGUCCAGCUCUUCUCCUUCUCUUCUCCACAUUUUUCCAUAAGCUUUCAUCUUGCACCUCCGCCUUCAGCACGCAGUGAUCUUCUUCUCCUCCUCCAGCACAGCGUGAUUUCAAUUUUUAUGAGAAAAUCAUCAGGUUUUUUUAUAAACUCUUAUUUACUUUUAAUUGUAUACAUAUAUAUUUUUAUUUUAUAUAUAAAAAUAAAUGUAUAAAUUUAAAUGUUAAAUGUUAAUAAAAAAAAUAUAAAUUAUUUAAGAUUAAGUAAUAUUGAUAAUAUAAUUUUUUAUGUAAUUUUUAUAAAUUUAAAAAUAAUAUGAAUAUAUAAAUUUAAUUUUUAUUAUAAUAAUAUUUGAAAUGAUAAAUAUUAAUUUUAUUUUAUCUGUUAAGUAUUUGUAAAUAUUUUUUAAUAUCAAAUAAAAUUUAAUAAUAUUUUCAAAAAAUCUAAUUUAAAAAAUAAAAAAAUAUAAUAUUUUUUUAAGAAUAUAAUUUUUUUUAAAUAUGCAGGGCUUGCACGGCCAAUGCAGGUGCAUGCAUGCAGGGCCGUGCAAGCCAUUUAAUUGGUUAAAGAAAAGAGUUCGGCACUAAUAGUGCCGAACUCUUUUCUCCGUCAACUUGAUCCUCGUGCAUGUUCGGCACCCAUGCCACGCUUGCAGCCACGAGAGCAGUAAAGCUGCUCCCGUGGCUUGUUCGGCACUCAUAGUGCCGAACAAGCUGUAGAAAUCACAGUUCCCCACCAUGGGUGUCGAACUUUCACUUCUUCGUCAAUAUAGGUGUCGAACUAGCGUGUUCGCCAGUUUCGCCAGUCAUCGUGUUCGCCAGUUUCGCCAGUCAUCGUGUUCGCCAGUUUCGCCAGUCAUCGGCGUGUUCGCCAGUUUCGCCAGUCAUCGUGUUUUGACACUUUUCGGAUUCUGCAUGAUUUUAAAAAUAAUUUUUAUAUUAUACAUGAUUUGAAAAAUUGCUCUUAAUAAUUGAAUCGUGAUUCAAUUAAAAGUUUCAUUAAGAAGACUUUUUCAAUACAAGAUUGAUUUUAUGUUUGGUUAAAAUUAUAUAAAAAAAUAAUAAAUUAAAAAUUAAAAAUUAAAAAAUGAGUUUUAAAUAGAUAUAAAAAGUUAUUUAUAAUAAAAAAAAUUUUAAUAUGUAAAAUUAUAUAAAUAUUUAAAAAAAUAAUUAAAAUAUAAAAUUGAUUAAUAAAAUUUUAAUUUUAAAUUUUAUAAUUAACCCUACAGUUUCGUCAUACUUUUAAAAGUUAUAUAUUUAAUUACACUUUUAAAAAUAAUGCAUUUUAAAAUUUUAUUUUAAAAAAAUUAUUAUAAUUUUUAUCGAAUAUUAAAAAUAAAAAUUAAAUUUAAUUCAAAUCUAUUUUAAAAUUUAAAAUUAGUUAUUCUGAUCACUCGUAAUUAAAUUUUUAAUGUUUAGUUUAGUCUUUUCAUCCUUUGUUUUUUUCUCAUUUUACUGCUCUUAUCUAAAAAUAACGUUGUAUUGCAUGAACAAAAUUGUAAUUACCACUGGACGAGUUUUGAGAUUGAUCUUUUUUUGCUUGUAAAGAUGAAAGAGAGGGGGUUGCUUUACAGCGAGCUCUAUCCACUGCUGAUGCCAGCAAUUGAACCAGCACGAGCAAGUUAUUCUCAGUGCUCUAGGACUCACAAAGUGGCGACGCUGCGAAAUUUGAAGCUCGACAACAUGCAUAGGUAAUGUUUUUCAGCGCUUUAAUAGUGAUGAACGAUAUUUAAAAAAAUAGGUUUUUUGUUAUCUUAUUUCCUUUUCGGUCUUUUUCUUUUGUUUAAUUUAACUAAUCAUAUAAAAUUUAAAAUUUUUAUUUAUUU